rnacentral:rRNA from 1 species
UACGAAGGGGGCUAGCGUUGUUCGGAAUUACUGGGCGUAAAGCGCGUGUAGGCGGGUCUUUAAGUCGGGGGUGAAAUCCUGGAGCUCAACUCCAGAACUGCCUUCGAUACUGGAAGACUUGAGUCCGGGAGAGGUGAGUGGAACUGCGAGUGUAGAGGUGAAAUUCGUAGAUAUUCGCAAGAACACCAGUGGCGAAGGCGGCUCACUGGCCCGGUACUGACGCUGAGGUGCGAAAGCGUGGGGAGCAAACAGG